rnacentral:misc_RNA from 1 species
GAAAUGCGAUAAGUAAUGUGAAUUGCAGAAUUCAGUGAAUCAUCGAAUCUUUGAACGCACAUUGCGCCCCCUGGUAUUCCGGGGGGCAUGCCUGUUCGAGCGUCAUUUCACCACUCAAGCCCCGCUUGGUAUUGGGCGACGCGGUCCGCCGCGCGCCUCAAAUCGACCGGCUGGGUCUUUCGUCCCCUCAGCGUUGUGGAAACUAUUCGCUAAAGGGUGCCGCGGGAGGCCACGCCGUAAAACAACCCCAUUUCUAAGGUUGACCUCGGAUCAGGUAGGGAUACCCGCUGAACUUAAGC